AUAUGUAUAUAUAUAUAUAUGUAUAUAUAGUGCCUAUGAGUGGUCCUAUGUUUAGACAGAAGUUUCUUGCAUUCCAAUCCUUUAUGAGGGUCCUAUGUUUUUUUCCAUAGUGACAACAUUUAAGAACAUCAUAUAGCACUUAAAACUUUUUCUCAUCAACUAUAAAUGUAGGACUCGGAUGCACUCCAGAGCCAACAAUUGAAACAUCAAACAACAAUUAUCUUGAACAAGGAAAAGGUGAGGGUUGAGCAAGAUGGAGAAGCAGGGCGCGUGCAUUACUAACUCAUCUGUGUUUUCACCUUAUGGAGCCGAUCAAUGAGUUAGUUCUUCAUGUGCCCGUCUUCCCCAUCAUGGUCACUCUGCCUUUGCUAUCAGUCAAGUCGUACUGCCCAAGCCAUUUCUUGCUGCAGCUUAUCUUCUGCAAAAUGACAGGCAAGUGCUAUCUCAAUAUUAGAGUCGUGUCAAGUUUAAAACCACAAGUUCAGAUUUUGGUACGUGCUAAAAGGAAAUUCGCUCUCAAAUUUCAUGUUCACUCAAAUAAUAGUCAUGUAGAAUGAGAUAGCUAAAGGCAGUAUGUUCUUAUUUAAGCAGACGGAAAAGUUGUACUAUACUAUACUCCAUUGUUCUCUUAUCUUGAUCAAAUAUCACAACCAGUUAUCACGUAACAGCUAAAUGAUUUUCUUUUUAAGGUACUUCUCAGACUCUGAUCCAGUUCUCAGCCACAUCUACAGAAAAGCAAUGGCGUGGCUUUUGGCAAACUACGACAAAAUAAUGGCUACUGAAAGAUUACUAGUAUCUCGUCCUUUUUGAUACACCACCUACUUGUACUAUGAUGCAACUUAAACUAGACUUAACAGGGACUGAGACCACACAUUCAGUUCCUUAAUAUAUUAGUUAAUCUUUUACGUUUCCCAGUCCUAAUACUAUGUGCUUAGGCUGAACUAAACAGGGACUGAGAGCACGAGUUUCAUUCAACAUAUUAUCUUUUACGUUUUUCAGACCUGAUACUAUGUACUUUAGUUAGUUCCUUUACUACUAUGUAAUCAUGUUCCUUUCCAUCAAUAAAAGUGCCCCAGUUAGCAAAAAA